rnacentral:rRNA from 1 species
AUUGAACGCUGGCGGCAGGCCUAACACAUGCAAGUCGAACGAGUGGCGGACGGGUGAGUAAUGUCUGGGAAACUGCCUGAUGGAGGGGGAUAACUACUGGAAACGGUAGCUAAUACCGCAUACCAUCAGAUGUGCCCAGAUGGGAUUCGCUAGUAGGUGGGGGAAAGGCUAACCAAGGCGACGUGCCCUAGCGGGUCUGAGAGGAUGACCGGCCACACUGGAACUGAGCCACGGUCCAGAUUCCUACGGGACGCAGCAGUGGGGAAUAUUGCACAAUGGGCGCAAGCCUGAUGCAGCCAUGCCGCGUGUAUGAAGAAGGCCUUCGGGUUGUAAAGUACUUUCAGCGGGGAGGCGUUACCCGCAGAAGAAGCACCGGCUAACUCCGUGCCAGCAGCCGCGGUAAUAC